UGGGGAAUUUUGGACAAUGGGGGCAACCCUGAUCCAGCCAUGCCGCGUGCGGGAAGAAGGCCUUCGGGUUGUAAACCGCUUUUGGCCGGGAAGAAAAGGUUCGGGCUAAUACCCUGGAUUUUUGACGGUACCGGCAGAAUCAGCACCGGCUAACUACGUGCCAGCAGCCGCGGUAAUACGUAGGGUGCGAGCGUUAAUCGGAAUUACUGGGCGUAAAGCGUGCGUAGGCGGUUCGUUGUGUCUGUGGUGAAAGCCCCGGGCUUAACCUGGGAAUGGCCAUGGAAACUGGCGAGCUGGAGUGUGGCAGAGGAGGGUGGAAUUCCGCGUGUAGCAGUGAAAUGCGUAGAGAUGCGGAGGAACACCGAUGGCGAAGGCAGCCCCCUGGGCUAACACUGACGCUGAGGCACGAAAGCGUGGGGAGCAAACAGGAUUAGAUACCCCCGUAGUCC
rnacentral:rRNA from 1 species